rnacentral:lncRNA from 1 species
AUACCAUCUAAGCCUAUUGGAUUGAGCAAACCUCAUUUUGCUCUAUCACACGUGAGUAGGUUCUUACUACUUUUAGUAUGUAUUACACUCUAUUUUUAUGGUACACACUAUUGUAGUCUUUUCUUUUAUAUAUUUCCACGGACAAAAAUGCAAAUCACCUAUAUCCCAGAUUGUGGAUCAUACUACUUCCCGCAAUAUUUCUGGAGCCAAUACCUAGGCUCCAUCAUAUGUGAGUGUACACCUGUCUAUAUACCUACCCUUAUUAGCUCAACAUACCACCUUAUAUACUUUUAUUUAUCUUUUAUAUUUCUAUGAAGUAUACCUUUUGCCACAAGGACAACCUGAAGAGCCUGCACUACACUAUAGCCAGAGGUGGGGGUCAUUCCGGCCAGGCAUUCAAGUUGGAGCUGUAUUUGAGCUCCCUGGAAGUGUAAGUGCACAAUUUUACUUACCCAUAAUCCAUUUAAGAAAUUUUUAACCUGCUACACUAUCAGUUCUUUCUGUUACUCCUUUUGUCGCUACAUACAUUUCUUAAAGGACAUUUCAGGUGCUACACCUUCUUUUUCUGUUUUAUCUUACCCCUUAUCAGACAAGGUAGACUCCGCAUUUGGUGAUUAAGCUGCCUUUGAACUAUAUUAGUAUUGUGCUAGCACUAAAUUUUUUUCUGUUUUCAUAAAAUAUAAUGGCUUAUAUUUGACCAAUAAUCUGGAUCUCGAUUAAAUGACCGACUGAGGGUAAAAGGGGAAAAAUAAGGACUGCAGUAAAGUUAGGUAAACUAUAGGUGAUUAGUGAUGUCCCGAACGGUUCGCUGGCGAAUAGUUCCCGCCGAACAUAGCGUGUUCGCGUUCGCCACGGACGGCGAACAUAUGCGAUGUUCGGUCCGCCCCCUAUUAAUUUACUAAUACUAAGUAAAAAUUACUUAGUAUUAGUAAAUUGUGCCCCUACUCGCAAUACCGCCUGUGGCUGCUCACUGUUAAAAAAAAAAAAAGGUUUUCUCCUCCCCCCGUCCCCCACCCCUGAGCGGUGGGUGGGGGCCCUAAAAUUAACAAUAAGGGGUGACCUAUUGUCCCCACCCCGGCCCCCACCCCUGAGCGGUGGGUGGGGGCCCUAAAAUUAACAAUAUGGGGGGGGACCUAUUGUCCCCACCCGGCCCCCACCCCUGGGCGGUGGGUGGGAGCCCUAAAUACAAAGGGGGGGGACCCUAGUCACCCCUCCCCCCCCAAAAAAAAUUAGCUCCCUACCUACCCCCAUCACCCUAAAAAUAAUGAGGGUGGGACCCUUAACUAAAAACCUGUAAAAAAAAAUUUUAGAUAAAAAUAACUUACCAUUUGAUGUUUUCUUUCUUCUACAAUCUUCUUUUUUCAGCCCCAAAAAAGGCAAAAUAAAAAGCCAUAAGAACCGACGCAAUUAAAAAAUUUUUAAAAAAAACGAGCGCACAAAAAAAUAAUCCAUCUUCACCCAUGGAGGGCUCCGCGCAGACUGAGCUCUGCAGGGUGGGGGAAGGCUUAUAAAGCCUUGCCACGCCCUGCAAUUAGGCUAAGAACACUCUGAUUGGCUGGUUUAAGCCAAUCAGAGUGCUCUUUGUCAUUUUACACAGCGUGGAAAAAUUCAAAAGAACUUUCCCAUGCUGUGUAAAAUGACACAGAGCACUGUGAUUGGAUGGCUUGAAAUCCAUCCAAUCACAGUGCUCUGUGUCAUUUUACACAGCGUGGGAAAAUUGAACUUUCAACAUGUAUGGUGAACAAAUAUUAUUUAUUUUUUUUAAAUGGUAUAAUCAGAUGGAAACAUAAAAACACAUCAGAAAUGUGACUGAGCUCAAGCUCAGUCCAUCUUUCUUGAGGGACCAGUACUCUGUUCCCACCUCAGCCAUUAUCCACUGUAGUGUGAGUGGUGAAGGGAACAACCUGAUACACGUCCCAGGAGCGACUGGGCCUGGCAUUGGCAUCUGUAGCCAGGAAAAUCACUGAGCAUAAAACCAAGAGCUAACCAAAAAUGUGUCUCACUAAUACCCAGUAAAACAUAUAAAACAAAAACUAUAUAUAUAUACACACAUGAAUAUAUAUAAAAGGAAAGCUCUUGCAAAUAUUAUAUACAAUCAUAAUUAAUAAAUGAAAUAUAUUGUAAAGCAAUCUAGGAGAAAAUAAACACACAAAUAGUGUAAUACAGCUAGGAGCAAUACAAGGGGAAAGGGGGAUGUAGAGUAAAUAAAGAAUUCAUUUUUCUAUUUCUCUCCUUUCUUAAUUUGUGAAAAACAUUUUGUGAUGCCAUAGAUCGACAGAGAUCCUGCAGGAACAGAAAUUGUAUCACCUCAAACUUUAAGGACGUUCUGCCCUGUAAAGCCUCUAGAACCACCAUUCGGUCCGAUUGCAGGGUAAAAUGAAUCAGGAAAUUGCAAGGAGCCUUAGUCGGUGCCCUAGCUGAAUCAGGUAAUCA